rnacentral:lncRNA from 1 species
AGACAAACAUUUCAGAACUUCCAAAGAAAUCUCAGGUGUAGACAUGUCAGAAGUGCUAAGUUUUUAUGAGAAGAUCAGCUGCAAGCCAAAAUUGUUCCAAGAGGUGAAACAGGAAAUUAAGAAGUUACUGUCAUCAGUGACUUUCUCUCCCAUCUCACCUGAAAAUUUCAGAAUCUACUUGAUCUUACCUUUCCUUUUGCGGGGAGAGGAUGACAUCUCUUAUCAUUCUCUUAAUCUGCUAGCACAAGCCAUCCUGAGACUCCAGCCAAAGGACCUGCAAACUCUUGGUAGGGUUUGGAGUUGGUAGAACUGGAUGAUUUAAAUGCUUAGUCAUUUUGGGCUGCGGAGCAAGAGGUACUCUGGCUGAUGUAAUUAGUUCCAGGAAUUCAGCCUGGAAGAAGUGCUUUCUGUAGAAAUAGAAACAUGGAGACUACACAGCAAAAGCAGUCACAAGAAAAAAAGUGUUUUUCGCAAUCUGAGGUUUCCUAAUCGUUGUAGUGCAAAAUUAAAUGUUUUGCUUAGUUGAUUUGAUAAAAAGAGGAAAUGCAGUUUCAUCUAGAAAUUGUAGCUGUUUGUAAGUUGCCUGUGGCAGAUACUUUACUAGCUGUUUUCUUUACAGAAUCCCUAUGGUCAAAUCUAGAAGUGUUAUUUUUCAAAGAGAUGGUCAGCAUAUAUCAGAGGGCUUCCCGGAACAACCUGUCUCAAUUUAUCUGGGAAGUGCUAUAUUGCCAAAGAGACUUCUUUGUACUGCACUGCCACGAAACAGUGACUCUGCAACUAUUACAGAUUCUUUCCCAGGUGAACUCCAGGGCUGGUUUCAGAAUACACAAAAACAACUUUUAUAUACCUGAAGUGAAAGAGAUUAUCAAACUGAGUUUCUGCGUGAACACGGACGUGGAAAAAAUCGCUCUAUGGAAGCUGACCAAAUACCCAAGCAUCUUUGACAUGCAAGAUAAGACUGCAGUUCAUGAUAUAGAACGCAAUGCUCUAUCCACACGCUGCUUGGCUACUGCUAUAAACUUUCCACUGAUAGUACAGGAACCAUGGAUUUUUCUGGUAAGAAGACAACACCUUCUGCAUGACAUAUGGGACAUUUUAAAUAACGCAGUACCUGAGCAAUUCAAGAACAUCUUAAAAGUAAGAAAUCAAACUGUUUUAUUUUGUUAGCUCUGAAUACCUUACUGCAGAGUUUUCUCUGCAGUGUUACUGAAGUAUUGUAAGAAAGGUUUACCGUAUUCAGUGAGCAUAUAACAAAAAAUCUUGCCCUCAAAUUAUUAUUAAACAAUAUUCCACUGGAAACGUAGAAUAAAUCUGGAGGGCAAGAUCCUACGUUCUUAUUG